CCGAAACUGCAGGGUCUGCGAAGGAAAUCUUACACAUCAGGGUGCAGCCCGCGGCACCAUGCGCCUGCCGCCAUGAGGUCUGGAGCGCCCGCGCCUCUCCUCGCCAUGGCCUUCAACAUUGUCCUCUGCAACCUCACCACCACAGGCCCUACGACGCGGACGGAGCACCUGCACCACCACCACGACUGGGGCCCCCACGUGGAGAGCUCCGAGGGGGGCAACGUCAGCGUGCGAGUCGGCCAGACGGCCACCCUCGACUGCCGCGUGCAGCU